CCAACUUGCAUGAUCAAGGCAGUCAUCCACACGAACUUUCUCAAACGUGUGAGUUUGUAUUUCCGACUAAUUGACAAUUUGGAAAAGCAAGGCUAUAUCAGCACCCGAAUUCGUAGUAAAAACGUGAAGAUGCAACGACUCCCAUUAAUGCUAUUCGGCAUUUUGGUACUCCUGGUAAUCAGCCAAGUGUCGGCGGCAGAAGUAGAAGACGAUGAAAUAGACUAUGCUUUCGAAGCAUUCGUGAAAAGGCGCACCAACAAGCGUGGCUUCUGGGUUAAACCACUUAAACCGGACUUCAGUCUCUUGAAGAAGUGGAGAUAGAGGCUGAUUGGUGCUUCAUGUAGCCUCCAUCACGUCUUACGGAUGCGUCACGGUACAUGUAGAACAAGAAAUAAAGCAUUUUAACAAGA